rnacentral:rRNA from 1 species
UUUGGAUAACUGUGGUAAUCCUAGAGCUAAUACAUGCAAUCAAGUCCCGACCAGUUCCACUGGGAAGGACGCUUUUAUUAGAUCAAGACCAAUCGCCCGGCUUCGGUCGGGCGUCGCCUUGGUGACUCUAGGUAACACAUCAGAUCGCACGGUCUCGCACCGGCGACUCAUCCUUCAAAUGCCUGACUUAUCAACUGACGAUGGUAGACUCCAUGUCUACCAUGGUGAUAACGGGUAACGGGGAAUCAGGGUUCGAUUCCGGAGAGGGAGCCUGAGAAACGGCUACCACAUCCAAGGAAGGCAGCAGGCACGCAAAUUACCCACUCCCGGCACGGGGAGGUAGUGACAAAAAAUAACGAUACGGGACUCAAUUGAGGCCCCGUAAUCGGAAUGAGUACACUUUAAAUCCUUUAACAAGGAUCCAUUGGAGGGCAAGUCAGGUGCCAGCAGCCGCGGUAAUUCCUGCUCCAAUAGCGUAUAUUAAAGUUGUUGCGGUUAAAAAGCUCGUAGUUGGUUCUGCGUGCCACGCUGUCGGUUCGCCGCCUGCCGGUGCUACUGGCAUGUCGUGGCAUGUCCUGUCGGUGGGUGUUCGGGGCCCCGUGCGGGCGGCAGGAGGCCGGGUGCAAACCCGUGCUCCUCUCUGCACGUCGGCGGGUUCACUCCGGCUCCCUACUAUCCUACCUAGGUGCUCUUCACCGAGUGUCGAGGUAGGCCGACACGUUUACUUUGAACAAAUCAGAGUGCUUAAAGCAGGCUGAAAAAUUCUGCCUGAAUGAUGGCGCAUGGAAUAAUAAAACAGGACCUUGGUUCUAUUUUGUUGGUUCUUAGGAACACAAGGUAAUGAUCAAUAAGGACAGGCGGGGGCAUUCGUAUUGCGCCGGGAAACCAAAGCUUUUGGGUUCCGGGGGAAGUAUGGUUGCAAAGCUGAAACUUAAAGGAAUUGACGGAAGGGCACCACCAGGAGUGGAGCCUGCGGCUUAAUUUGACUCAACACGGGAAACCUCACCAGGUCAGGACAUUGUAAGGAUUGACAGAUUGAUAGCUCUUUCUUGAUUCAGUGGGUAGUGGUGCAUGGCCGUUCUUAGUUGGUGGAUCGAUUUGUCUGGUUAAUUCCGAUAACGAACGAGACUCUAGCCUAUUAACUAGACGAUCCGAGAGCCCACGUCUCUCGCGACAAUCACUCUUCUUAAGGGGACAGGCGGCUUAUAGUCGCACGAGAUUGAGCAAUAACAGGUCUGUGAUGCCCUUAGAUGUCCUGGGCCGCACGCGCGCUACAAUGAAAGAAUCAGCGUGUGUCUCCCUGCCCGAGAGGGCUGGGUAAUCCGCUGAACCUCUUUCGUGCUUGGGAUUGUAGCUUGCAAUUGUUCUUCAUGAACGAGGAAUUCCCAGUAAGCGCGAGUCAUAAGCUCGCGUUGAUUACGUCCCUGCCCUUUGUACACACCGCCCGUCGCUACUACCGAUUGAAUGAUUUAGUGAGGUCUUCGGACCGGCGGGAAAUCCCUAUCGCUUCGGCGGUA